CAUAAAUCAGAGAGCCUCCUAUCCGUCAUCCAUAAUCGGGGUCCACCGUGACAUGACCGACACGUGGGUGUGUCUAGCGCUUCCAAACCAGGUACACAGUGAAAUAAAUUGGAGAAGGUAGGAGGGCAUGCACGGAUGGAUCGUGCAGAUGGUGAAGGGAAGAUAGCACCCAAUCCGAGGAAAGAGAAUCUAUCGUUUAUCGAUCUCUCUCCUGGCCUUUUUUUUUCCCCUCUUACGCAACGCCUGUGAAGGACCAUGUAUUUGGACGAUAUGUAGUUUGGCUCUUCCUUGAACCUUGGACUGUGUUCUUAUUCUUUUUGCUUUCUAUAACUUUAUCCACGGCAAUUCAUGAGGGAUGGCUAGCCAUAAGUUUGAGGACCGAGUCGAUUUAAGGCACAUAGACAUAUUCUCCUACACUUCGGCAAACUUGGCUAUCGCCCUGCACUCGUCCCUUAUCUAUUUUCGAGGAUGUUCUAUGUUCAAAUUAAUUUUAAGAAAAAAAGCUAACAUGCUUCUU